ensembl:snRNA U4 U4 spliceosomal RNA
AGCUCUGCAGUUGCACUAUCAUAGCCAAUGAGUUUAUCCAGGGCACAAUCAUUGCUAAUUGAGAACUAUUCCCCAUAGCUCGCCAUGACAACUUGAAAUAUGGUUGACAAUGGCAAUUUCUCUUUUUUUUUUUUGAGA